CAUGCGUCCUGUCCGGCCGGCCCUAUAUACGGCAGGCCACCAGGAAGAGGUGAAGCGGAGAGAGUGAGAUCGAUCGAUCGACCCAUCGCAGCGAGAUGGAUGAGGAGUACGACGUGAUCGUGCUGGGGACGGGGCUCAAGGAAUGCAUCAUCAGCGGCCUCCUCUCCGUCGACGGCCUCAAGGUUCUCCACAUGGAUAGGAACGACUACUACGGAGGGGAGUCUUCAUCCCUCAAUCUCAUCAAGCUCUGGAAGAGAUUCAAAGGCAACGACACCCCUCCUGAGCAUCUGGGCAUCAGCAAAGAAUACAAUGUUGACAUGAUACCCAAGGUUUGCCGGCCGCCACCUGAAAUCUGUCACUCCGCGCCCUUCUGGUAUUCUGCAGAUCCAAAUUAAAUAAGCUCUGAAUCUGCAGUUCAUGAUGGCAAACGGCGCCCUGGUUCGUGUCCUGAUCCACACGAGCGUCACAAAGUAUCUCAACUUCAAGGCCGUUGACGGCAGCUUCGUCUACAACAAUGGGAAGAUCCACAAAGUCCCCGCAACGGAUGUCGAAGCCUUGAAGUCCAACCUGAUGGGCCUCUUCGAGAAGCGCCGGGCGAGGAAGUUCUUCAUUUACGUGCAGGAUUACGAGGAGGACGACGCAAAGUCGCACGAGGGCCUGGAUUUGACCAAGGUUACCACAAGAGAAGUCAUCUCCAAAUAUGGAUUGGAGGAUGAUACGGUUGACUUUAUCGGGCAUGCAUUAGCGCUUCAUCGGGAUGACAGCUAUCUGGAUGAGCCUGCAAUCGACACUGUCAAGCGAAUGAAGCUUUAUGCAGAAUCGCUGGCUCGCUUCCAAGGUGGGUCCCCAUACAUCUACCCUCUAUAUGGUUUAGGAGAACUCCCUCAGGCCUUUGCCCGUCUGAGCGCUGUUUAUGGUGGCACUUACAUGCUGAACAAGCCAGAAUGCAAGGUUGAGUUUGAUGAGAGCGGUAAAGCAUAUGGUGUGACUUCUGAAGGAGAGACUGCGAAGUGCAAGAAGGUCGUCUGUGAUCCCUCGUACUUGCCUGAAAAGGUGAAGAAGGUUGGAAGGGUGGCGCGUGCGAUAUGCAUCAUGAAGCACCCGAUCCCCGACACCAAGGAUUCACACUCCGUGCAGAUCAUCCUCCCAAAGAAACAGCUAAAGCGCAAAUCAGACAUGUACGUGUUCUGUUGCUCUUACGCUCACAAUGUUGCGCCGAAAGGCAAGUUCAUCGCUUUCGUGUCGACUGAAGCUGAGACUGACAAGCCCGAGAUCGAGCUGAAACCCGGGAUCGAUCUGCUCGGCCCUGUGGAGGAGACAUUCUUCGACAUCUAUGACAGAUACGAACCCAUCAACAAUCCUGAGGAGGAUAGUUGCUUCUUGACAAAUAGCUACGACGCUAGCACUCAUUUUGAGACAACGGUGAAGGAUGUCCUCGCCUUGUACAACAAGAUCACUGGAAAGGAGCUUGAUCUCUCAGUGGAUUUGAACGCCGCGAGUGCUGCUGAGCAAGAAGCUGCUUGAACAUCCUCUACUUCUGCAGCUCUGCCAUAGCCACUUCUUCCAAUUUUUUUUCAAAUGAUUUCUGUAGAUGGAUAUGUUUCAUGAGAUCCAUUUUUGUCAUGCUUUUGGGGUUUCCAUUUGUCACUCCUAAUGAACCACGGAUUUAUAAAUAUGACAUUAUUCACUGG